rnacentral:rRNA from 1 species
UGGCUCAGGAUGAACGCUGGCGGUAUGCUUAACACAUGCAAGUCGAACGGAUGUUUUCGGACAUUAGUGGCGGACGGGUGAGUAACGCGUGAGAAUCUAGCUUCAGGUUGGGGACAACAGUUGGAAACGACUGCUAAUACCGAAUGUGCCGAAAGGUGAAAGAUUUAUUGCCUGAAGAAGAGCUCGCGUCUGAUUAGCUAGUUGGUGGGGUAAGAGCUUACCAAGGCGACGAUCGGUAGCUGGUCUGAGAGGACGAUCAGCCACACUGGGACUGAGACACGGCCCAGACUCCUACGGGAGGCAGCAGUGGGGAAUUUUCCGCAAUGGGCGAAAGCCUGACGGAGCAAUACCGCGUGAGGGAAGAAGGCUCUUGGGUUGUAAACCUCUUUUCUGAGGGAAGAAAAAAAUGACGGUACCUCAGGAAUCAGCAUCGGCUAACUCCGUGCCAGCAGCCGCGGUAAUACGGAGGAUGCAAGCGUUAUCCGGAAUGAUUGGGCGUAAAGCGUCCGCAGGUGGCAAUUCAAGUUUGCGGUUAAAGGCUCUGGCUCAACCAGAGACAGGCCGUGAAAACUGAAUAGCUAGAGUAUGGUAGGGGCAGAGGGAAUUCCCAGUGUAGCGGUGAAAUGCGUAGAGAUUGGGAAGAACACCGGUGGCGAAAGCGCUCUGCUAGGCCAAAACUGACACUGAGGGACGAAAGCUAGGGGAGCGAAUGGGAUUAGAUACCCCAGUAGUCCUAGCCGUAAACGA